rnacentral:piRNA from 1 species
UCCAAUUACCUUAUGUGCUUACCUGGGAAA